CAGUAGCCGCGGGAAUACGUAGGGCGCAAGCGUUGUCCGGAAUUAUUGGGCGUAAAGAGCUCGUAGGCGGUCUGUCGCGUCUGGUGUGAAAUCCCGAGGCUCAACCUCGGGCUUGCAUCGGGUACGGGCAGACUAGAGUGCGGUAGGGGAGACUGGAAUUCCUGGUGUAGCGGUGGAAUGCGCAGAUAUCAGGAGGAACACCGAUGGCGAAGGCAGGUCUCUGGGCCGCAACUGACGCUGAGGAGCGAAAGCAUGGGGAGCGAACAGGAUUAGAUACCCCAGUAGUCCUGUCUCUUAUACC
rnacentral:rRNA from 1 species